rnacentral:lncRNA from 10 species
GUUACUUGGUAUCUGUGCCUUAUUUGACCUUUGGUUCCACAUGCCUUGGAUGUGCAUGCACCGUGACGGUUUCAUAGGUACGAACGCACACUCAGGCCCAGUCACUUCGGUUGGUAGUACAGAUUGUGAGGAAAAAGAUGGAGGCAUCCUUAAGGAGGAAAAAUGUUUGCCUUUAGUUCCUGCAUUAUCCUGUACAGAGGGGCUCCUGAGUUUUGGAAGCCUGUUCCCAGUACAGGAGAACAACUCCCCUGUUUGCAGCAGGAGACUUCAGUGCACGGUGACAACGCUGGAGUUCAAGAGGAAGCCAGCAAUGCUGCACCAUUGGCUUCAGACACCAUUGUUGUUGUUUGCCAGUUUUAAACUUAACUAGUUGCAGACGAAGACCACCUUGAAAUGCAGGCUUGUUGGGCUUGUUUUGAAUUUUAACCUCGGAUGGAAGAGCCCUAGUGCUGUCUGUCUCCAUGCGGGAUGAUGAUUGCUAGGCAACAGGUGAUUAUCAACAAAGGAUGCCACGGUUAUACUCUGCAAGGUGGUGUUCCAGUGGCAAACAGCUGUAUAAACUCUUGUAAACAGUCCUGAAGAUGGGCCACUGUUUUGUUUAUGAAAUGCUAAAGGGACACCAGAAAAGUUUUGUGACUAACUGAAGGAUACACAGCCAGGAACUGAUUGAGGUAUCUUUGAGUUUUCAGAUGUCUAUCUAAAAAUACUGUGACUAUAGUCUUAAAAUUGAAAGUGAUGCUGGGAUUGAGUGUGUACACAUGAAACUUAUUUCCAU